GGGGGCGACAAGGUUUCGACGGGGAUACAAGAACUGUUAGUCACGUGUCGAGGGGUGAUGCUCGUAAAAACGUCACACUGUUAUAGUUGGCAACAACUACGCAAUCGCUGCUUAAUUAAACAGUAGCCGAUCGUGAGGUGAGGCUCACAGCGCCGAAACGAUCGUCAUAUUUAGUGGGCUGGCAACCCGUUCUGGACCAGGGGAACGGCGCGCGAGACUUUUCUUGGUGGGGAUGUGUGAGUUUCGGCCCCGGUUAGCCUCACCCAUCCGACAUCGAUAACUGGGGAAACGCACGUAAACGCUGGCAGGGAAGGUUCUCGGACCCGGGUUCGAUUCCCGGCGCCUCCACCA
rnacentral:tmRNA from 1 species